rnacentral:rRNA from 2 species
UACGUAGGGUGCGAGCGUUAAUCGGAAUUACUGGGCGUAAAGUGUGCGCAGGCGGCUCUGCAAGUCGAGUGUGAAAUCCCCGGGCUUAACUUGGGAAUGGCGCUCGAAACUACGGAGCUCGAGUAUGGCAGAGGGAGGUGGAAUUCCACGUGUAGCGGUGAAAUGCGUAGAGAUGUGGAGGAACACCAAUGGCGAAGGCAGCCUCCUGGGCCAAUACUGACGCUCAUGCACGAAAGCGUGGGGAGCAAACAGG